rnacentral:rRNA from 1 species
AGAGAUGUGUGAUGACGCAUAUCAAUAAGCGGAGGAAAAGAAACCAACAAGGAUUCCCUCAGUAACGGCGAGUGAAGCGGGAAGAGCUCAAAUUUGAAAUCUUCAAGGUUCUACCUUGACGAAUUGUAGUUUAUAGAAGUGUUUUCUGUUAGUGGAGUGGCAAAAGUUCUUUGGAAUAGGACAUCAUAGAGGGUGAGAAUCCCGUAUUUGGUCAUUCCUCCUAGCGUUGUGAUACACUUUCAACGAGUCGGAUUGUUUGGGAAUGCAGUCCAAAAUGGGUGGUAAAUUUCAUCUAAAGCUAAAUAUUGGCGAGAGACCGAUAGCGAACAAGUACCGUGAGGGAAAGACGAAAAGAACUUUGAAAAGAGAGUUAAACAGUACGUGAAAUUGUCAAAAGGGAAGCGUUUGACACCAGUGUUGUUUUUCCGAAAAUCAAUUACGAAUGUCUUUAUUUUUGAGGAGUUAUGACUUCAUCGGCUUGCUUCUCUCUUUACGAAACUUUCUUAAUGCACUUUUCGGUUAACAAGUCAACAUCAAUUUCUUUUGUUGUAAAAGGGUAUGAGGAAGGUGGCUUUCUUUUCGGAGAAAGGUGUUUAUAGCCUUGUAGCCUCUGCAAUCGGAGAGAUUGAGGUCUGCAGCGUAGAUCCUUCGGGGUUAGAUACAGUUUGUGCUAAGUUAUAGCUUUUCAUAGACAACUUGUUGACUAUGUUUAGUCUUGUAGCUUACUCGCUUAUGCUAUUUUACCUACCUUAGGAUGUUGACGAUCAGCUGAGCGCG